rnacentral:rRNA from 1 species
UUCGUAGUCAUAUGCUUGUCUCAAAGAUUAAGCCAUGCAUGUCUAAGUAUAAAUAACUUUAUACUGUGAAACUGCGAAUGGCUCAUUAAAUCAGUUAUAGUUUAUUUGAUAGUACUUACUACUUGGAUAACCGUGGUAAUUCGAUAACCGUGGUAAUUCUAGAGCUAAUACAUGCGAAAAGACCCGACCUCUGGAAGGGUUGUAUUUAUUAGAUAAAAAACCAAUUUUUGUGGUGAAUCAUAAUAACUUCGCGAAUCGCAUGGUCUUGUACCGGCGAUGAAUCAUUCAAAUUUCUGCCCUAUCAACUUUCGAUGGUAAGGUAUUGGCUUACCAUGGUUGUAACGGGUAACGGAGAAUUAGGGUUCGAUUCCGGAGAGGGAGCCUGAGAAACGGCUACCACAUCCAAGGAAGGCAGCAGGCGCGCAAAUUACCCAAUCCUGACACAGGGAGGUAGUGACAAUAAAUAACAAUACAGAGCCUUUUUGGGUUUUGUAAUUGGAAUGAGUACAAUCUAAAUCUCUUAACGAGUAACAAUUGGAGGGCAAGUCUGGUGCCAGCAGCCGCGGUAAUUCCAGCUCCAAUAGCGUAUAUUAAAGUUGUUGCAGUUAAAAAGCUCGUAGUUGGAUUUCUGGUUUGGCUGCCGGUCGGCCGCAAGUCGCUACUGGCACGGCGCGUUCCUUCCUCUCGAAGGCCGGGUGUGCUCUUAACUGAGCGUGCGCGGAGUUCGGGACGUUUACUGUGAGAAAAUUAGAGUGUUUAAAGCAGGCGUUUGCUUGAAUAUUGCAGCAUGGAAUAAUGGAAUAGGAUCACGGUCUUAUUUUGUUGGUUUCUAGGAACAAGGUAAUGAUUAAUAGGGAUAGUUGGGGACAUUAAUAUUUCAUUGUCAGAGGUGAAAUUCUUGGAUUUAUGAAAGAUUAACUUCUGCGAAAGCAUUUGUCAAGGAUGUUUUCAUUAAUCAAGAACGAAAGUUAGGGGAUCGAAGACGAUCAGAUACCGUCGUAGUCUUAACCAUAAACUAUGCCGACCAGGGUUGGGAGACGUUUUCUUAUAUGACUCCCCCAGCACCUUGUGAGAAAUCAUAAGUCUUUGGGUUCCGGGGGGAGUAUGGUCGCAAGGCUGAAACUUAAAGGAAUUGACGGAAGGGCACCACCAGGCGUGGAGCCUGCGGCUUAAUUUGACCCAACACGGGAAAACUCACCAGGUCCAGACAUAGUUAGGAUUGACAGAUUGACAGCUCUUUCUUGAUUCUAUGGUUGGUGGUGCAUGGCCGUUCUUAGUUGGUGGUUUGAAUUGUCUGGUUAAUUCCGUUAACGAACGAGACCUUAACCUUCUAAAUAGUUACGUGAUUUCCGAAUCACGGGCAACUUCUUAGAGGGACUAUCGGUGUUUAACCGAUGGAAGUUUGAGGCAAUAACAGGUCUGUGAUGCCCUUAGAUGUUCUGGGCCGCACGCGCGCUACACUGACGGGACCACCGGUUUAUAACCUUCACCGAAAGGUGUGGGUAAUCUUGUGAAAUUUCAUCGUGAUGGGGAUAGAUUAUUGCAAUUUUUAAUCUUAAACGAGGAAUUCCUAGUAAGCGUGAGUCAUCAGCUCGCGUUGAUUACGUCCCUGCCCUUUGUACACACCGCCCGUCGCUACUACCGAUUGAAUGGUUUAGUGAGUCCUUCGGACUGGUCGUGGCUGGUCGCAAGACAAGCCGCGUUGCCGGGAAGCUGAACAAA